CACGGGGGGAGCAAGCGUUGUUCGGAAUCACUGGGCGUAAAGGGCGUGUAGGCGGUCAAGUAAGUGGAAUGUGAAAUCCCCCGGCUUACCCGGGGACCGGCAUCCCAUACUGCUUGGCUUGAGUACGGGAGAGGAUGUGGGAAUUCCUGGUGUAGCGGUGAAAUGCGUAGAUAUCAGGAGGAACACCGGUGGCGAAGGCGCACAUCUGGCCCGAUACUGACGCUGAAGCGCGAAAGCUAGGGGAGCAAACGGG
rnacentral:rRNA from 1 species